UACAGAGGUCUCAAGCGUUGUUCGGAUUCAUUGGGCGUAAAGGGUGCGUAGGCGGCGCUGUAAGUCGGGUGUGAAAUUUCGGAGCUUAACUCCGAAACUGCAUUCGAUACUGCGGUGCUUGAGGACUGGAGAGGAGACUGGAAUUCAUGGUGUAGCAGUGAAAUGCGUAGAGAUCAUGAGGAAGACCAGUGGCGAAGGCGGAUCUCUGGACAGUUCCUGACACUGAGGCACGAAAGCCAGGGGAGCAAACGGG
rnacentral:rRNA from 1 species